UACGUAGGCAGCAAGCGUUGUUCGGAGUUACUGGGCGUAAAGAGUGCGUAGGUGGUGCCCUAAGUCCGUUGUGAAAUCUCCCGGCUUAACUGGGAGGGUGCGGUGGAAACUGGGGUGCUUGAGUGUGGGAGAGGUAAGCGGAAUUCCUGGUGUAGCGGUGAAAUGCGUAGAUAUCAGGAGGAACACCGGUGGUGUAGACGGCUUACUGGACCACGACUGACACUGAGGCACGAAAGCGUGGGUAGCAAACAGG
rnacentral:rRNA from 1 species